ACAGUCCAUUUGAUGAUUUCCAAUCAAUCAGGAUUUAGAGAGCAUCAUAGCACAGAGACGGCACCGCUGAAAAUUACAAAUGACCUGCUAAUUGCUUCAGAGAAAGGACUUGUC